rnacentral:rRNA from 1 species
AUGCCUGGGCCUCGUGACCUCAAGCUCCUGCGCCAGCCUCGCCUUCCUGCACCACUUUGCCUCGGCCAUUCGACCCCAAGCCAUCCUCGCAUCGCGGUCUUCAUCUGCCAAGGACGCCAAGACCUUUUUGUGGAUGCGUCAAGUACCCUGCUGCCUCUAAGGUAUCGCCAAGAACGCGUUCUGCGACGACCGGUGUUUUCGAAGGCUGCCAAGUACCAUUUUGUCAGACGCCUGAACGACUACCACACCGGAACGUUAAGUACAUGGAUACGCCGAGUUCCUCUCCGAAUGUGUGUGUGA